rnacentral:rRNA from 1 species
GAGUUUGAUCCUGGCUCAGAUUGAACGCUGGCGGCAGGCCUAACACAUGCAAGUCGAACGGCAGCGGGGGAUAGCUUGCUAUCCUGCCGGCGAGUGGCGGACGGGUGAGUAAUGCAUGGGGAGCUGCCCAAUCGAGGGGGAUAACAACUGGAAACGGUUGCUAAUACCGCAUACGCCCUGCGGGGGAAAGGUGGGGACCUUCGGGCCUACCGCGAUUGGAUGCACCCAUGUGGGAUUAGCUAGUUGGUGAGGUAACGGCUCACCAAGGCGACGAUCUCUAGCUGAUCUGAGAGGAUGACCAGCCACACUGGAACUGAGACACGGUCCAGACUCCUACGGGAGGCAGCAGUGGGGAAUAUUGCACAAUGGGGGAAACCCUGAUGCAGCCAUGCCGCGUGUGUGAAGAAGGCCUUCGGGUUGUAAAGCACUUUCAGUGGGGAGGAAGGGCUGAUGACUAAUAUUCAUCAGCAUUGACGUUACCCGCAGAAGAAGCACCGGCUAACUCCGUGCCAGCAGCCGCGGUAAUACGGAGGGUGCAAGCGUUAAUCGGAAUUACUGGGCGUAAAGCGCACGCAGGCGGUUGGAUAAGUUAGAUGUGAAAGCCCCGGGCUCAACCUGGGAAUUGCAUUUAAAACUGUCCGGCUAGAGUCUUGUAGAGGGGGGUAGAAUUCCAGGUGUAGCGGUGAAAUGCGUAGAGAUCUGGAGGAAUACCGGUGGCGAAGGCGGCCCCCUGGACAAAGACUGACGCUCAGGUGCGAAAGCGUGGGUAGCAAACAGGAUUAGAUACCCUGGUAGUCCACGC